UCUCUGUUGGCUCAGACGGUAAAGCGCCUGUCUGCAAUGCAGGAGACCCAAGUUCGAUCCCUGGGCCAGGAA
rnacentral:tRNA from 1 species